GAUGAACGCUGGCGGCGUGCCUAAUACAUGCAAGUCGAGCGAACAGAUGAGGAGCUUGCUCCUCUGACGUUAGCGGCGGACGGGUGAGUAACACGUGGAUAACCUACCUAUAAGACUGGGAUAACUUCGGGAAACCGGAGCUAAUACCGGAUAAUAUAUUGAACCGCAUGGUUCAAUAGUGAAAGACGGUUUUGCUGUCACUUAUAGAUGGAUCCGCGCCGCAUUAGCUAGUUGGUAAGGUAACGGCUUACCAAGGCAACGAUGCGUAGCCGACCUGAGAGGGUGAUCGGCCACACUGGAACUGAGACACGGUCCAGACUCCUACGGGAGGCAGCAGUAGGGAAUCUUCCGCAAUGGGCGAAAGCCUGACGGAGCAACGCCGCGUGAGUGAUGAAGGUCUUCGGAUCGUAAAACUCUGUUAUUAGGGAAGAACAAAUGUGUAAGUAACUAUGCACGUCUUGACGGUACCUAAUCAGAAAGCCUCGGCUAACUACGUG
rnacentral:rRNA from 1 species